rnacentral:tRNA from 1 species
CGGGGUGUGGCGCAGUUGGCUAGCGCGCUACGUUCGGGACGUAGAGGCCGAAGGUUCGAGUCCUUUCACCCCGA